UUGGCCUGGUGUCCCACGGCACCUGGACACUUGAGACUGCUGUCUCGGCCAGAGGUGUGGGCAGAGUGGGACGGGCUGGCGUUUCCAUGAAUCUCUUGCCAUCGGAGGUCAGCUCGAUGGUGACCGUGACGGGGGGAGCCGCCUGUUCAACACGGCCGCGCACCCCGCGGAAGAAGCCUAGGUCUCGGAGCCACCGCCUGGAGCAGGGCCGCGCCCUGACCUGGCACCUGCAUCAGCCUGUCCUGAGAAACCAUCCAUCCAUUCAACAAAUAUUUAUUGGACACCCGCAGCGUGACACGCAUGGUUCCGGCCCCAGGGGGUGGAGUUUCGGACGAAACGGGCAAGAUUCCUGCUCUUCAUGAGGCCCUGCAAAGGCCAGAGAGCAGCCCGAGAAGCCAUAUGGACGGAGGUGAAAACAGUGGAUUAAGAAUUACAUAUUGUGAGCUGACGCCUGGGAGCCAGCGUCCACCGGGUUUCUUCACUCUGUGCCUGGGACCCGCCCCUUCCCCCCAGGCCCCCGCGCCCCCUGCCCGCCUCCCCUGGCCUCCACACAUUUCAGGGUCCUGCUAGGAACCCAGCGCUAAGAUUUGGCUCCAUUUUAAUGACACGUCCAAGCGCCUUGCGGUCCGCGGCCCUUCUGAAAUUGUUUUAAUUGACGUUCCAUGAAUCCUGGCGGGUUCAGACGGAGUUCAUCUCGAAGCCCAUCCUGAUUUCAUUAAAGAUUUGAUCUUUCUUUUUUCACCAAUAAAACACUUAUUAUCGUUA